rnacentral:lncRNA from 10 species
GGCACAAUCUCAGCUCACUGCAACCUCCGCCUCCUGGUUCAAGCAAUUCUCCUGUCUCAGCCUCCUGAGUAGCUGGGAUUACAGGCACGUGCCACCACGCCUGGCUAAUUUGGGUAUUUUUAUUAGAGACUGGGUUUCACCAUAUUGACCAGGCUGGUCUCGAACUCCUGACCUCAUGCUAUCUGCCUGCCUCAGCCUCCCAAAGUGCUGGGAGUACAGGCGUGAGCCACUGCACCUAGCCUUUGUAGUUAUUUUAUUAGGCCUGUCAGACAAUCAUCUGCAUGCAUGUUAUUUCCCAGCAAAGAACUAAGCUUAGGUGAUUUUGCUCAGUUAUUCUGUAUCAGGGGUAAGCAACUCUUUUUUUAAAGGGAGAGAUGGUCGUUAUUUUAAGCUUUGGGGGCCAUACAGUCUGUUGCAACCACUCACUUAUGACAGCCAUAGACAAUUUGUAAAUGAAUAGGUGAACAAGGCUAUGUUCCAGUACAACUUUAUUUACAGAAACAGACAGUAGCCAUAUGUGGCCCAUGAGCUAAUAGUUUGGCCAAUCCUUGUGAUAUACCAAUGAUAGUCAUUUUUUACGUAUUUUAGUCUACGUAGUUUCAGAGUGCUUUGUCUCCUGUAAUUCUUGGAACUCCCUAGUUCUGUAUCCUGCAAUGAUUCCCCAGUGUCCUUCACCAUGGAAGCCUCCAUGUUUUAUUAUAACAGAGCCUUGGAAACAAGGGUGUGAGGCAAGGACUCGAGCCAGUGCUCAUCGUGGUGAAAUUUGCAUCAUUAGAAGAAUGUUUAUAAAGGACUUUAGAGAAGUUAGAGUCAGUACCCCACUGCCUGCAUCAGAGCUAGCCCUGUGGUAGGAAAUCUCAUACAGAGGGUGGGCUCUAAUUUCAGAGGAUAAGAACCUGGCCUCCCA